rnacentral:rRNA from 1 species
CCAAUAGCGUAUAUUAAAGUUGUUGCAGUUAAAAAGCUCGUAGUUGAAUUUCGGGAUCAGUACGUCGGUCGUGCCUUCGGUAUGCACUGGUGUCACUGAUUCCUCCCUUCUGACGAACCGUCAUGCCAUUAAUUUGGUGUGGCGGGAAAUCAGGACUGUUACUUUGAAAAAAUUAGAGUGUUUAAAGCAGGCUCACGCUUGAAUACAUUAGCAUGGAAUAAUGAAAUAGGACGUUGAUCUUAUUUUGUUGGUUUCUAGGAUUGACGUAAUGAUUAAUAGGGAUAGUUGGGGGCAUUAGUAUUCAAUUGUCAGAGGUGAAAUUCUUGGAUUUAUUGAAGACUAACUACUGCGAAAGCAUUUGCCAAGGAUGUUUUCAUUAAUCAAGAACGAAAGUUAGGGGAUCGAAGACGAUCAGAUACCGUCGUAGUCUUAACCAUAAACUAUGCCGACUAGGGAUCGGAUGAUGUUAAUUUUCUAAUGACUCAUUCGGCGCCUUACG